rnacentral:rRNA from 1 species
AACGAACGCUGGCGGCAGGCUUAACACAUGCAAGUCGAGCGCCCCGCAAGGGGAGCGGCAGACGGGUGAGUAACGCGUGGGAACGUGCCCUUUGGUUCGGAACAACUCCGGGAAACUGGAGCUAAUACCGGAUAAGCCCUUCGGGGGAAAGAUUUAUCGCCAAAGGAUCGGCCCGCGUCUGAUUAGCUAGUUGGUGAGGUAAUGGCUCACCAAGGCGACGAUCAGUAGCUGGUCUGAGAGGAUGAUCAGCCACACUGGGACUGAGACACGGCCCAGACUCCUACGGGAGGCAGCAGUGGGGAAUAUUGGACAAUGGGCGCAAGCCUGAUCCAGCCAUGCCGCGUGAGUGAUGAAGGCCUUAGGGUUGUAAAGCUCUUUUGUCCGGGAAGAUAAUGACUGUACCGGAAGAAUAAGCCCCGGCUAACUUCGUGCCAGCAGCCGCGGUAAU